AUACGGAGGGUGCGAGCGUUGUUCGGAAUUAUUGGGCGUAAAGCGCGUGUAGGCGGUUUGUUAAGUCUGAUGUGAAAGCCCUGGGCUCAACCCAGGAAGUGCAUUGGAAACUGUCAGACUUGAAUACGGGAGAGGGUAGUGGAAUUCCUAGUGUAGGAGUGAAAUCCGUAGAUAUCAGGAGGAACACCGGUGGCGAAGGCGGCUGCCUGGACCGAUAUUGACGCUGAGACGCGAAAGCGUGGGUAGC
rnacentral:rRNA from 1 species